rnacentral:lncRNA from 1 species
UAUCGGUUUUCGUUUAAAGUUAUCGUUUUAAAACUUUCAGAAAUUUGUCACCUAAAACAUUAUUAAUCAGGAUAAAAUUUGAAGAUGAAAAUACACGGAUGGAUGGAAUACAUAAAUCGUCAAAAUACAAGGAACUUUUAGAGAUCAAACAUAAAAAUUACAUUAAUAUAUAAAUUAAACGAAAACUUAACACCGGUAGGACUAUCCAAUUUAGAACUGAUAAAAGUUAAAAGAUAUUUUGCAGCAUAAUUCGAGAGGACAAAAAAGUCGUAGGUUUGACAAAGCCACUUGUGCUUCCGAAGUAGAGUUAUUUCCGCGUACAAAGUCCAAAACCUGUCAUAAUUUGAUAUCAAAUUGCGUCAACUAAAAUCAUUUUUUAUAUAAAUACAAAGGAGAAAAAAAUCAUGAUAAAAUGUGU